rfam:Haemophilus haemoglobinophilus strain CCTG 3714 3714T_ctg_0000010, whole genome shotgun sequence.
CUCAAUGGUAGAGCGUAAAGGGCAACGUCUAGGCGUUGGCUGCUUUCCUUUUGAGGCAGUUUGUCACCCCUUUACGCUUUACCGCCCGA